ACAGGAUACCUCCAAUUCAAAAGGAGGAUCCAGCAUAAUAGAGGCCAGACAGGUGAUUUGCAUACUCAAGAGAAGAAGCCACAAUAGAAGAAGGCAGAGGAGGAUUCUGUGUUGAAAGCAAGCAAAGAUGGGCACAAUUUGACCGAGCUUCCGUAAACUUCUCAUGGGAACACCUGGCUCAUUUCUCCUGCUGGGAGAUGGCAGGUUCUUGCAUUUGAUACUUGAAUGGGCCAGCUGGGGUAACUGGACAAGGUCUGACUCUGGGCCCCCAUCACUUUUGCUGGCUGGCAAUUCUUUUCCACCCUGAGCAUCUGUAGAGUCAUCCAACUGUGUUUGCAAAACUUGGUUGUAUGUGAGAAGUGUGUUUGUUUUAUGAUCAGUGUCUUGGGUUUUAAAUAAGAAUACUGCAAGAGAUGAUCCCACUAUGAUCCUUGUUAAUGUACCUCUAGGCUAAUAAGUACGGAGAUGAUCCUGCUCUUUGAUUUCAUGAAUAAGAAAAUAAAAUGGGAAAUGCAUGACAUUU
ensembl:lncRNA novel transcript